rnacentral:rRNA from 1 species
UACGAAGGGGGCAAGCGUUGUUCGGAAUUACUGGGCGUAAAGGGCGCGUAGGCGGCUUAUCAAGUCAGGCGUGAAAUUCCCGGGCUCAACCUGGGGGCUGCGCUUGAUACUGAUUGGCUUGAAUGCGGGAGAGGAUAGUGGAAUUCCCAGUGUAGAGGUGAAAUUCGUAGAUAUUGGGAAGAACACCGGUGGCGAAGGCGGCUCUCUGGACCGUAACUGACGCUGAGGCGCGAAAGCGUGGGGAGCAAACAGG